GAUGAACGCUAGCUACAGGCUUAACACAUGCAAGUCGAGGGGAAACGACAUCGAAAGCUUGCUUUUGAUGGGCGUCGACCGGCGCACGGGUGAGUAACGCGUAUCCAACCUGCCCACCACUUGGGGAUAACCUUGCGAAAGUAAGACUAAUACCCAAUGACGUCUCUAGAAGACAUCUGAAAGAGAUUAAAGAUUUAUCGGUGAUGGAUGGGGAUGCGUCUGAUUAGCUUGUUGGCGGGGUAACGGACCACCAAGGCGACGAUCAGUAGGGGUUCUGAGAGGAAGGUCCCCAACAUUGGAACUGAGACACGGUCCAAACUCCUACGGGAGGCAGCAGUGAGGAAUAUUGGUCAAUGGACGAGAGUCUGAACCAGCCAAGUAGCGUGCAGGAGGACGGCCCUAGGGGUGGUAAACUGCUUUUAGAAGGGAAUAAAGUGAGUCUCGUGAGACUUUUUGCAUGUACCUUAUGAAUAAGGACCGGCUAAUUCCGUG
rnacentral:rRNA from 1 species